rnacentral:rRNA from 1 species
UAAGAGCUGGCGGCAUGCUUUCACAUGCAAGUCCCACGGCAGCACAGAGAAGCUUGCUUCUUGGGUGGCGAGUGGCGAACGGGUGAGUAACAUAUCGGAACGUACCGAGUAGUGGGGGAUAACUAAUCGAAAGAUUAGCUAAUACCGCAUACGUCUUGAGAGAGAAAGCAGGGGAUCUUCGGACCUUGCGCUAUUCGAGCGGCCGAUAUCUGAUUAGCUAGUUGGUGGGGUAAAGGCCUACCAAGGCGACAGUCAGUAGCGGGUCUGAGAGGAUGAUCCGCCACACUGGGACUGAGACACGGCCCAGACUCCUACGGGAGGCAGCAGUGGGGAAUUUUGGACAAUGGGCGCAAGCCUGAUCCAGCCAUGCCGCGUGUCUGAAGAAGGCCUUCGGGUUGUAAAGGACUUUUGUCAGGGAAGAAAAGGUUGGUGCUAAUAUCGUUGACUGAUGACGGUACCUGAAGAAUAAGCACCGGCUAACUACGUGCCAGCAGCCGCGGUAAU